AUGGCCGGAAGCUCGGAUUAUCGGCCUUUUAACCUGGCAGCAAGAGUCGUAGGAAAGAGACGACGACUCAUACUACCUGCCAAGUUGAAGUCAGCGAUACCCGCCAUUGCUCUGGUUCUGUCGGCCGUGACCAUUGUUGGUGUCAUAACCCAGCACCACCGGAUCACCUACUUCCUGCGCCCACUGUGGGACACGCCGCCCAAGCCAUUCACCGUCAUCCCGCACUACUACGCCCCCAACACCUCCAUGGCGGAGCUGUGCGCGCUCCACGGCUGGCGCGCCCGCGCCUCCCCUCGCCGCGUCUUCGACGCCGUCCUCUUCAACAACGAGCUCGACAUCCUGGAGAUCCGCUACCGCGAGCUGCUCCCCUACGUCCACAAGCUGGUCAUCCUGGAGGCCAACGCCACCUUCACCGGCAUCCCCAAGCCGCUCUCCUUCGCCGAGAACCUGGAGCGCUUCGCGUUUGCGAGGUCCAAGAUCGUCUACGACAGGCUCCCCAUCGCCACACCGGGGUCACCAGGUCGGCGGGAAGAGCCGUUCGACGUGGAGGCCGGGCACCGGCGCGCGCUGAACGCGCUGCUGCGGCGGUCGGGCGUCGCGGGCGGGGACGUGGUGAUCAUGGCGGACGCGGACGAGAUCCCGAGCCCGGAGACGGUGCAGCUGCUGCGGUGGUGCGAGGGGGUGCCGCCGGUGAUGCACCUGCAGCUGGAGAACUACGUCUACUCCUUCGAGUUCCCCGUGGACCGCGGCAGCUGGAGGGCGACGGCGCACGUCUUCAGCGAGCGCACGGCGUACCAGCACUCCCGGCAGAGCGACCUAAUGCUGGCGGACGCCGGGUGGCACUGCAGCUUCUGCUUCAGGGAGAUCGCGGAGUUCGCGUUCAAGAUGAAGGCGUACAGCCACGCGGACCGGGUGAGGCGGCAGAGCUUCCUGGACCCGGCGAGGAUCCAGCGGGUCGUCUGCGCCGGCGACGACCUGUUCGACAUGCUCCCGGAGGAGUACACCUUCAGGGAUCUCUUGAAGAAGAUGGGGCCAAUACCCAGGUCGGCGUCGGCCAUGCAUCUGCCUUCCUAUUUGAUCAAGAACGCACACAGGUUCAGCUUCUUGCUUCCUGGUGGAUGCUUGAGAUCAGGUUAA
rnacentral:rRNA from 1 species